GCCUGUCUUGGGCCUGCUGGAUCCUCUGAGCCUUGCAGGGUGCCGGGUAUACAGUGGGUGCUUCGUAAGUAUUUGUGGAAUGAAUGUGCAGAGUGAAGCCCUGUGCCCAGAACAGGCUCAGACAUCGUCUUCAGAAAAGCCGUCACCCCAUCAUCGACAGUGGAUGUUCCAGGGAAGAGUACCUUAGGCUGGAGGCCAGGAGGAGAGAUCGUGACAACAGUACGUGUGGCUCUAGGAUGUGAGUGUUCAGCACGCUAAUCCAUGUGAAGCAUUCUGAAUAGUGUGUGGCACACAGAAUCCACUCGAUAAACAUCAGCCAUCAAUCUCACGAUUAUUGUUUUUAUUGCUGCUGUCAACCCCAUCCAGCAAACCCUCUAAAAGUUGGCAGGAAACCAGAGAAACAAACCCCAGGUGGAGAAAAAUUCUACAGAGCCACCACGGUCUCGAAGAGACUCCAGGGCCAUUCUCUAGGAACCACAACCACAGAAGCCAGGCAGCUUGGAAGCCGAUGAUGUAGACCAGAAGCAACCAUCUGCCCCCUUUGACCGUAUCACCAGCCCACGUUAGCCAGGUCAAUCAGGGACUACAGCCAGCCCUCCCGGGAACUCCAGACCCAGGGCAAAGGUUACCAGGAAAGCCAAGGUCACAAGUUGGCCUAGGGAGCAGGGGCAGUGGCUCCAAGCACCCACCCAGUGACCACAGUGAGAAACGAGAUCUGUGGGGGAUUUGGCUACCCGAAGUCCUUCAGAGAAAUCUGAAGGGUCAGGCUGGGCCAGGGUCCCCCCACCCAAAUCCCCUUGGCCUCUGCAGAGAGGAACAGCUGGGAAAACAGCACUCAGCCUCACGGCCGCCUAAUGGUGAAGCCAACUGUUAUCGCCUGGUGGGGAGCGUAAACAUGGCACGCGACAGAAGGCUGUACAGCUACCCUAGGGGAGACACAAACAGCCUCGUGGCCAGGAUGGAGGAGCCCACCAUGAUCUGCAUUGGCCUGAUGGGCACCUGGCUCAUCUGCACCCCCCACCCCCACCCCCACCACAAGGUCUGGCCAGGACUGAACUCCCAGUGCUUCUCUGUGAGGAGAAAAGUGAACAAGGUUGAAAGGCAGACCACAGAGGACCCACCUGAUUACUCUAGCAGAGGCCUCUUGCUGAGCCCAAGCGGCCACUAAAUGAGAGGAUGCAGGUCUGCAGAAUCCCAAGGACCAAGAUGUCCCCAGCCACCUUGCCUUGUCAGAAAAGGUGUUCUUCUAAACACUCCUUCCUCCUAAGGCUUACCAAGCAGAUCCAGCGGACAUGGCUCCUCAAAUCUAAGCUCAGUACCUCCUCCCCUCCCUAAUACGGAGCAGAAAGCCCAGGAACCUUCAGACAGUGGCUUCCAAGACAUCUCCUGCCCACAGAAUCAAAGGAUUUGCUCCAGGGGUACCCCACACACCUUAAAAUAAAGCUUAAUAACAUGAAAAGGUUCUGCGGUAGACAACAGUCCCAGUGACC